AGAGAGAGACAUGCGCGCAUAUCAAUAAGCGGAGGAAAAGAAACUAACUAGGAUUCCCUCAGUAACGGCGAGUGAAGCGGGAAGAGCUCAAAUUUGAAAUCUUCAAGGUUCUACCUUGACGAAUUGUAGUUUAAAGAAGUGUUUUCUGUUGGAGUUUUGGUAAAAGUUCUUUGGAAUAGGACAUCAUAGAGGGUGAGAAUCCCGUAUUUGACCAUUAUUUCCAGCUUUGUGAUACACUUUCAAAGAGUCGGAUUGUUUGGGAAUGCAGUCCAAAAUGGGUGGUAAAUUUCAUCUAAAGCUAAAUAUUGGCGAGAGACCGAUAGCGAACAAGUACCGUGAGGGAAAGAUGAAAAGAACUUUGAAAAGAGAGUUAAACAGUACGUGAAAUUGUCAAAAGGGAAGCGUUUGACACCAGUGUUGUUUUCUCGAAAAUCAAUUAAAAAAGGCUGGAUUUUGUGUUGUAUUGACUUUAUCAGCUUUCUGCACUCUUUUCUUGUCUUUUUUAAUGCACUUUUCGUUUAACAAGUCAACAUCAAUUUCUUUUGUUGUAAAAGGGUCAUUGGAAGGUGGCUUUCUUUUCGGAGAAAGUGUUUAUAGCCUUUGGCCUCUGCAAUCGGAGAGAUUGAGGUCUGCAGCGUAGAUCCUUCGGGGUUAGAUACACUUGUGCUAAGUUAUAGCCUUUCAUAGACAACUUGUUGACUAUGAUCAGUCAUGUAGCUUACUCGCUUAGUGCUAUUUUACCUACGCUUAGGAUGUUGACAGCAGUAUAGACUGU
rnacentral:rRNA from 1 species